AAUUUUCAGAUUUUUUAGUAUUGUGUAGAUAAAUUAUCAUAUAACAUAUAAGUUAAUGUUUCCAACCUCAAAAGUUGCACAUUUUCAUAAAUAACGUUGAUAUAUUCGUCACACGAGCUAAUGGAUAUGCUGUUAGCUCCAGCAACCACAAACCAAUGAGAGCUCUUGUUACUAUUUCGUGGACUUCAGUUGGCCAAUCAGAUUCCUCGUACUUCUGGUAAAGCCAUAACACGACGUUAACAACUGGUUAAGGGAUGAGAGCAAACGAAGGAAAAGUAGCAUGGCUGAAUGGUACAGGUGUCUGUCUGUGGAGAAGUCAGAGACUGUCACUACACAACCAGGUAUAAUGGUGAAAUGCAGGUAAGCAAGGUAUCGUGUGUAAUUUGCAAAGCAACUGUGGUGAUACAUGGCCUCUGACACAACAAGAUCUCUUCCAUGGAUUUGAAGCAACAGGUGUUCAUCCUUCUUCCUCUCAGCAGCACGAAGGAGUUGAUCUGCUGUGGUAAACAAAGUUUAUACUCAGGCAUGCAACAGGCAGGAGGUGUGGAGCCCUUUUGGGUUGUUCUGGGCCACUUGAAGAGCGCAAAACCCGAACCUUGGAUGCAGCACCAUCACUGGUAUCUGGCAGCAGUUCUUCUGAACAUUGUAAUGGCACUAAAAUGUAAGUUACAAGUGAUCAAUAAAUGGAAAUGAUCUAAAUUCACAUUGUUUCUAACAAUUGUAAAUAAAUAAAAAAAAACAUACUUCUGA